rnacentral:rRNA from 1 species
AGAUUGAACGCUGGCGGCAUGCUUUACACAUGCAAGUCGAACGGUAACAGGCCGCAAGGUGCUGACGAGUGGCGAACGGGUGAGUAAUGUAUCGGAACGUGCCCAGUCGUGGGGGAUAACGCAGCGAAAGCUGCGCUAAUACCGCAUACGAUCUAUGGAUGAAAGCGGGGGACCGUAAGGCCUCGCGCGAUUGGAGCGGCCGAUAUCAGAUUAGGUAGUUGGUGGGGUAAAGGCUCACCAAGCCAACGAUCUGUAGCUGGUCUGAGAGGACGACCAGCCACACUGGGACUGAGACCACGGCCCAGACUCCUACGGGAGGCAGCAGGUGGGGAAUUUUUGGACAAGUGGGCGCGAAGCCUGAUCACGCAAGUCGCCGCGUGCCGAGGAAACGAACGGUCCGUUACGGGUUAGUAACCGU